AGACAUUAAGAUAUCCGAGUUGCUUGUUAAUUCUAUUUGCUUUUUUUUUAAUUUAUUUGUUUAACAAAUUUAUAAGUCGCCAAAAACUCUUAGCAAUACGAACGGAUAUGUGGUUACUGUUGUAAAGUCAUGAUUAGGUGCCAAGAAGACAAAACGGUCUUGCCACAGAGCACCGCGGAAGAGCUAGGAGGCGCAAAGGAGACGUGAACUAGGAAGUUCACGCCUCCUUUCUUAUCGAUAGCACGAAAUACGCCCAGAGCUUGCAUCGAAUUCUGGAUCUUUUGCUAAUUAAGCAAGCGCUCUCACUACUGCGCUUAAGCUAAGUGUUCAAGGUAUAGUAGUUUUAGUACCCAAUUUUUUUUCAGGGUGUUUCUCUGCAACUUAAAUUUUCUGAUAAAAAGAAAAAAGCAUCUGUGGCAUGUGGCAUCUGUCGCGCAGUGAUUAGAGACACAGCCAAGUAAUCCGAGAUCAUCGAUACCAAUAAUGCCCAGAAGCGACAUAAGCAAGAAAAAAAGAACUCUCUGGAUAAAUUCUUUUUCUUGUUGUUUUUAGUUCAUCUUGGUGUACCUUUUAACUAAAAAAAUGUAUACCAGCAAUAUUUUAAGUCCGAAAAAUAAGCAGAUUUAUUUUUACUUAUUGUAUUUUUUAUUUUAAUUAGAAUAUAGAGUUAUAUUUCUCGGAUUAUGUUUACGUACACGUUAUUAUAUUGUUGUAAUUGGUAUUUAUUUCAAUCAUGUCUCGGAGUUGUAUGCAACUAUAUUUUCAUUUACUUCGUAUAUUUCGAAACUUUAUGUUUAUGAUAUUUAUAUUUUUAUAUCUUUACCGCCAAUCUGUGAUUGGUUACUUGUCAAUACUUUGUAGUUGUAAAAUAAACAUUUAUAUAUAUAAAAAAAGAUUACUCAUUAUUA